rnacentral:misc_RNA from 1 species
UUUCCGUAGGUGAACCUGCGGAAGGAUCAUUAAAAAAUGUGGUACCAAUUAUUGGUACUAAUUAAUCAUCCUACCCUUUGUGAAUUUGUUUGUAUGAAUUUUUUUAAAUGGGUCUUUCCCUAAGUUGGAUUGUUAGUAAAAUACAAAAAGACUUAGGGGAAUGACUUUUUUAAAAGACUUUUUUUUAAUUAAAACUUUUUGUAUUCAUUUGUCUAAAAUUUAUUUUUAUAAUAUAAAAACAACUUUUGACAAUGGAUCUCUUGGUUCUCGCAACGAUGAAGAACGCAGCAAAAUGCGAUAAGUAGUGUGAAUUGCAGAAUACGUGAAUCAUCGAAUCUUCGAACGCAUAUUGCACUUUUUUAGUUUACUAAAAAAGUAUGUCUGUUUGAGUAUCAGUAAAAUAUUCUCACAAACAUAUAUUGUUUGUGGUAUGAGUGUUUUACAACGAUAAACAAGUUGUUUCACUUUAAAUUCUUUUGUAAGUUUUUUACCAAUUCAAAUUAAAAUUGGAUAAAAUUUUCCUUUAACGAGGAAUAACCUAAACAAUUUUAAAUUUUAUGGAUUAAUAAACAUUCAUCAAAGGAAUCUAAUUAUACAUAAAUAACUUGAUCUCAAAUCAGAUAAGAGUACCCGCUGAACUUAAGCAUAUCAAUAAGCGGAGGAAAAGAAACUAACAAGGAUUCCCUUAGUAACGGCGAGUGAAGCGGGAAGAGCUCAAAUUUGAAAUCUUCAAGGUUUGACCUUGACGAAUUGUAGUUUAUAGAAGUGUUUUCUGUUGGAGUUUUGGUAAAAGUUCUUUGGAAUAGGACAUCAUAGAGGGUGAGAAUCCCGUAUUUGACCAUGACUUUCCAGCUGUGUGAUACACUUUCAAAGAGUCGGAUUGUUUGGGAAUGCAGUCCAAAAUGGGUGGUAAAUUUCAUCUAAAGCUAAAUAUUGGCGAGAGACCGAUAGCGAACAAGUACCGUGAGGGAAAGAUGAAAAGAACUUUGAAAAGAGAGUUAAACAGUACGUGAAAUUGUCAAAAGGGAAGCGUUUGACACCAGUGUUGUUUUCUCGAAAAUCAAUUUAAUGAGUUCUUGUUUUUAAGUUAUUGUGACUUUAUCAGCGCAUUUCUUAUUUUACUUGACUCAUUGAAUGCACUUUUCGUUUAACAAGUCAACAUCAAUUUCUUUGGUGGUAAAAAGUUAAAGGAAGGUGGCUUGGACUUCGGUUCAAGUGUUUAUAGCCUUUUUUCUAUGCCAUCGGAGAGAUUGAGGUCUGCAGCGUAGAUCCUUCGGGUUAGAUACCUUUGUGCUAAGUUAUAGUUUUUUAUAGACAACUUGUUGACUAUAAUUAACCCUGUAAUUUACUCGCUUAGGCUAUUUUACCUACGCUUAGGAUGUUGA